AAUGAACGCUGGCGGCGCGCCUAAUACAUGCAAGUCGAGCGAGAAGACGUAGCAAUACGUUUGUAAAGCGGCGAACGGGUGAGGAAUACAUGGGUAACCUACCCUCGAGUGGGGAAUAACUAGCCGAAAGGUUAGCUAAUACCGCGUACGCUUCUUGGACUUCGGUUCAGGGAGGAAAGCGAUGCCGAGGGUAUCGCGCUCUUGGAUGGGCUCAUGUCCUAUCAGCUUGUUGGUGAGGUAACGGCUCACCAAGGCUUCGACGGGUAGCUGGUCUGAGAGGACGAUCAGCCACACUGGCACUGCGACACGGGCCAGACUCCUACGGGAGGCAGCAGUAAGGAAUAUUGCGCAAUGGGCGAAAGCCUGACGCAGCGACGCCGCGUGGGGGAUGAAGGUCUUCGGAUUGUAAACCCCUUUCGGG
rnacentral:rRNA from 1 species